rnacentral:rRNA from 1 species
AUUGAACGCUGGCGGCAUGCCUUACACAUGCAAGUCGAACGGCAGCAUGGAGAGCUUGCUCUCUGAUGGCGAGUGGCGAACGGGUGAGUAAUGCAUCGGAACGUACCGUGUAAUGGGGGAUAACGUAGCGUAAGUUACGCUAAUACCGCAUACGACCUGAGGGUGAAAGCAGGGGAUCGCAAGACCUUGCGUUAUACGAGCGGCCGAUGUCAGAUUAGCUAGUUGGUGAGGUAAAGGCUCACCAAGGCGACGAUCUGUAGCGGGUCUGAGAGGAUGAUCCGCCACACUGGGACUGAGACACGGCCCAGACUCCUACGGGAGGCAGCAGUGGGGAAUUUUGGACAAUGGGGGCAACCCUGAUCCAGCCAUGCCGCGUGAGUGAAGAAGGCCUUCGGGUUGUAGAGCUCUUUCGGCCGGGAAGAAAUCGCACAGGCUAAUACUCUGUGUGGAUGACGGUACCGGCAUAAGAAGCACCGGCUAACUACGUGCCAGCCGCCGCGGUAA